GCCGAGUUGGGUAGCGUCAACUUGUGACUCAAGUGAGGGCAUUACGGUGGUGGGAUAAUACUGUGGCUUCUCUGGGUUGGGCCGUGCAUGGUAAAAUGCUGUCCUGCCCGUUCCAAGUUGAGAGCUGACUCAUGGGUCCGAGCGAAGGCUUGGGUCUCUAGAGUCCUAAAGUGGAGGACACAGCGUGAGGCUGGUUUCACAGAGCAGCAAAAACCUCCCUCUCCUGACAGUGGAGGGAUAACAGGCCGCUGCAAUCAUAGUCCAGUAUGCCCAGUUUACCUAGACCGCCAUCAUU
rfam:Vigna angularis cultivar Jingnong 6 chromosome 3, whole genome shotgun sequence.